rnacentral:rRNA from 1 species
CUGGCUCAGAUUGAACGCUGGCGGCGUGCUUAACACAUGCAAGUCGAUCGGUAACGCGGGGCAACCCUGGCGACGAGAGGCGGACGGGUGAGGAACGCUUGGGAAUCUGCCUAUCAGCGGGGGACAACCCGGGGAAACUCGGGCUAAUACCGCAUACGCUCCACGGAGGAAAGCCGGGGACCGCAAGGCCUGGCACUGAUAGAUGAGCCCAAGUCGGAUUAGCUAGUUGGCGGGUAACGGCCCACCAAGGCGACGAUCCGUAGCUGGUCUGAGAGGACGAUCAGCCACACUGGGACUGAGACACGGCCCAGACUCCUACGGGAGGCAGCAGUGGGGAAUAUUGGACAAUGGGGGAAACCCUGAUCCAGCGACGCCGCGUGGGUGAAGAAGGCCUGCGGGUUGUAAAGCCCUUUCGGUAGGGACGAAAGCUCUCGACCUAACACGUCGGGAGGUUGACUUAACCUACAAAAGAAGCACCGGCUAACUCUGUGCCAGCCGCUGC